rnacentral:rRNA from 1 species
CCCGUUCGUUACACACCGCCUCGUCAAGCCAUGGAAGUCGGGAGGACCUGAAGCCAGUUGCUGUGAGGCGCUGUUUAGGGUAAAAUCGAUGACUAGGGCU